rnacentral:tRNA from 1 species
UGGCUCAUUUGGUAGAGCAUGGUGUUUGCAACGCCAGGGUUGUGGGUUCGAUUCCCAU